UGCGUAUGUAACCUGCCCGCAACAGAGGGAUAACCCGGCGAAAGUCGGACUAAUACCUCAUAAAACAGGGGUUCCGCAUGGGGCUAUUUGUUAAAGAUUUAUUGGUUGCGGAUGGGCAUGCGUACCAUUAGGUAGUUGGUGAGGUAACGGCUCACCAAGCCAUCGAUGGUUAGGGGUUCUGAGAGGAAGGUCCCCCACACUGGUACUGAGACACGGACCAGACUCCUACGGGAGGCAGCAGUGAGGAAUAUUGGUCAAUGGGCGAGAGCCUGAACCAGCCAAGUCGCGUGAAGGAUGACUGCCCUAUGGGUUGUAAACUUCUUUUACAGGGGAAUAAAAUGAGAUACGUGUAUUUUAUUGCAUGUACCUUGUGAAUAAGCAUCGGCUAACUCCGUGCCAGCAGCCGCGGUAAUACGGAGGAUGCGAGCGUUAUCCGGAUUUAUUGGGUUUAAAGGGUGCGUAGGUGGGCUGUUAAGUCCGCGGUGAAAGUUUGUCGCUUAACGAUAAAAUUGCCGUUGAAACUGGUAGUCUUGAGUAUAGAUGAAGUAGGCGGAAUGCGUGGUGUAGCGGUGAAAUGCAUAGAGAUCACGCAGAACUCCGAUGCGAUGCC
rnacentral:rRNA from 1 species